GCCGGGAUAGCUCAGUUGGUAGAGCAGAGGACUGAA
rnacentral:tRNA from 14 species